AGGACGAACGCUGGCGGCGUGCUUAACACAUGCAAGUCGAGCGGAAAGGCCCUUCGGGGUACUCGAGCGGCGAACGGGUGAGUAACACGUGAGUAAUCUGCCCCUAGCUCUGGGAUAGCUCCGGGAAAACCGGGAUUAAUACCAGAUACGACCACUUUAGACAUCUGCUGUGGUGGAAAGAAUUUCGGCUAGGGAUGAGCUCGCGGCCUAUCAGCUUGUUGGUGAGGUAACGGCUCACCAAGGCGACGACGGGUAGCCGGCCUGAGAGGGCGACCGGCCACACUGGGACUGAGACACGGCCCAGACUCCUACGGGAGGCAGCAGUGGGGAAUAUUGCGCAAUGGGCGAAAGCCUGACGCAGCGACGCCGCGUGGGGGAUGAAGGCCUUCGGGUUGUAAACCCCUUUCAGCAGGGACGAAGCGAAGUGACGGUACCUGCAGAAGAGCGCCGGCUAACUACGUGCCAGCAGCCGCGGUAA
rnacentral:rRNA from 1 species